ACGAGAGGACCGGGAUGGACGUACCGCUGGUGCACCAGUUGUUCCGCCAGGAGCACGGCUGGGUAGCUAAGUACGGAAGGGAUAAGCGCUGAAAGCAUCUAAGCGUGAAGCCCCCCUCAAGAUGAGAUUUCCCAAUUCGUAAGACCCCUUGAAGACGACGAGGUAGAUAGGUUGGAGGUGGAAGUGCAGCAAUGCAUGGAGCUGACCAAUACUAAUCGGUCGAGGGCUUAUCCUAAA
rnacentral:rRNA from 1 species